rnacentral:tRNA from 1 species
CGGGGCGUAGCUCAGCCAGGUUAGAGUGCGCGGUUCGGGACCGCGAGGUCGAGGGUUCAAAUCCCCCCGCCCCGA